CCCAGACUCCUACGGGAGGCAGCAGUGGGGAAUAUUGGGCAAUGGGCGCAGGCCUGACCCAGCGACGCCGCGUGAGGGAAGACGGUCUUCGGAUUGUAAACCUCCUUCAGCAGGGAAGACAAAAGGACGGUACCUGCAGAAGAAGCCACGGCUAACUACGUGCCAGCAGCCGCGGUAAUACGUAGGUGGCGAGCGUUAUCCGGAAUUACUGGGUGUAAAGGGAGCGUAGACGGCGAGGUAAGCCUGAAGUGGAAGCCCGCGGCCCAACCGCGGAACUGCUUUGGGAACUGUUUUGCUGGAGUAUGGGAGGGGUAAGCGGAAUUCCUGGUGUAGCGGUGAAAUGCGUAGAUAUCAGGAGGAACACCGGUGGCGAAGGCGGCUUACUGGACCAUAACUGACGUUGAGGCUCGAAAGCGUGGGGAGCGAACAGGAUUAGAUACCCUGGUAA
rnacentral:rRNA from 1 species